GACGAACGCUGGCGGCGUGCUUAACACAUGCAAGUCGAACGGAAAGGCCCUGCUUUUGUGGGGUGCUCGAGUGGCGAACGGGUGAGUAACACGUGAGUAACCUGCUCUUGACUUUGGGAUAACUUCAGGAAACUGGGGCUAAUACCGGAUAGGAGCUCCUGCUGCAUGGUGGGGGUUAGAAAGUUUCGGCGGUUGGGGAUGGACUCGCGGCUUAUCAGCUUGUUGGUGGGGUAGUGGCUUACCAAGGCUUUGACGGGUAGCCGGCCUGAGAGGGUGACCGGCCACAUUGGGACUGAGAUACGGCCCAGACUCCUACGGGAGGCAGCAGUGGGGAAUAUUGCACAAUGGGCGGAAGCCUGAUGCAGCAACGCCGCGUGCGGGAUGACGGCCUUCGGGUUGUAAACCGCUUUCGCCUGUGACGAAGCGUGAGUGACGGUAAUGGGUAAAGAAGCACCGGCUAACUACGUG
rnacentral:rRNA from 1 species